CCUACGGGUGGCAGCAGUGGGGAAUAUUGCGCAAUGGGCGAAAGCCUGACGCAGCGACGCCGCGUGAGGGAUGAAGGUCUUCGGAUCGUAAACCUCUGUCAGCAGGGAAGCACGGUCACUGUGCUAAUCAGCAGUGAAUUGACGGUACCUGCAAAGGAAGCACCGGCUAACUCCGUGCCCGCAGCCGCGGUAAUACGGAGGGUGCGAGCGUUAAUCGGAAUUUCUGGGCGUAAAGCGCUCGUAGGCGGUAUGUCAAGUCAAGGGGGAAAGCCCCACGCUCAACGUGGGAACUGCCUUUGAAACUGGGAAACUUGAGUGUGGGAGAGGAUAGUGGAAUUCCAGGUGUAGGAGUGAAAUCCGUAGAUAUCUCGAGGAACAGCAGUGGCGAAGGCGACUAUCUGGCACAUAACUGACGCUGAGGAGCGAAAGCGUGGGUAGCAAACAGGAUUAGAUACCCUUGUAGUC
rnacentral:rRNA from 1 species